UACGGCUAUAUAACAUUGAAAUACCGGUUCCUGUAUGAUCACCGAAGUUAAGCAACGGCAAGCCUAGUCAGUACCUAGAUGGGUGAUCGCUUGGAAAUACCAAUUUCUG